GAUGAACGCUGGCGGCGUGCCUAAUACAUGCAAGUCGAGCGGAAAGGCCCUUCGGGGUACUCGAGCGGCGGGCGGGUGAGUAACGCGUAAGAAUGUACCCCAAAGUGAGGAAUAACUGCUCGAAAGAGUAGCUAAUGCAGCAUGUGCUCUUCGUAGGAAAGCUUUAUGCGCUUUGGGAACAGCUUGCGUCUGAUUAGCUAGUUGGUAAGGUAACGGCUUACCAAGGCGACGAUCAGUAGCUGGUCUGAGAGGAUGAUCAGCCACACUGGGACGGAGACACGGCCCAGACUCCUACGGGAGGCAGCAGUAGUGAAUUUUCCACAAUGGACGAGAGUCUGAUGGAGCAACGCCGCGUGCUGGAUGAAGGCCUUCGGGUCGUAAACAGCUUUUGUCUGUGACGAAUAUGACGGUAGCAGACGAAUAAGGAUCGGCUAACUACGUGCCAGCCGCCGCGGUAA
rnacentral:rRNA from 1 species